rnacentral:rRNA from 1 species
GAUGAACGCUGGCGGCGUGCCUAAUACAUGCAAGUCGAGCGAACAGACGAGGAGCUUGCUCCUCUGACGUUAGCGGCGGACGGGUGAGUAACACGUGGAUAACCUACCUAUAAGACUGGGAUAACUUCGGGAAACCGGAGCUAAUACCGGAGAAUAUAUUGAACCGCAUGGUGCAUUAGUGAAAGACGGUUGUGCUGUCACUUAUAGAGGGAUACGCGCCGCAUUAGCUAGUUGGUAAGGUAACGGCUUACCAAGGCAACGAUGCGUAGCCGACGUGAGAGACGGAUCGGCGACACUGGAGCGUAGACGCCGACAAUACUCCUACGAGACGCCGCAGUAGGCAAUCUGCGGCAGUAGGCGGAAGCCUUACGCAGCGACGCCGAGCGAGUGAUGAAGGUCCUCGGUUCGUAAAACUGUGUUAUUAGGGAAGAACCACUGUGUAAGUAAAUAUGCACUUCUUGACGGUACCGGAUCAGAAAGCCACGGCUAACUACGUG